rnacentral:rRNA from 1 species
UACGUAGGUGGCAAGCGUUGUCCGGAUUUACUGGGUGUAAAGGGCGCGUAGGCGGGACUGCAAGUCAGAUGUGAAAUCUGGGGGCUUAACCCUCAAACUGCAUUUGAAACUGUAGUUCUUGAGUAUCGGAGAGGCAGGCGGAAUUCCUAGUGUAGCGGUGAAAUGCGUAGAUAUUAGGAGGAACACCAGUGGCGAAGGCGGCCUGCUGGACGACAACUGACGCUGAGGCGCGAAAGCGUGGGGAG